rnacentral:rRNA from 1 species
GAGGCAGCAGUUAGGGAAUCUUCCACAAUGGGCGAAAGCCUGAUGGAGCAACGCCGCGAUGAGUGAUGAAGGCCUUCGGGUUGUAAAACUCUGUCAUUCGGGACGAACCGGAGUCUGAGGAAAUGCAGACUCUCUGACGGUACCCGAGGAGGAAGCCCCGGCUAACUACGUGCCAGCAGCCGCGGUAAUACGUAGGGGGCAAGCGUUGUCCGGAUUCACUGGGCGUAAAGCGCGCGCGGGCGGUGAUGUAAGUCUGAGGUGAAAACCCGAAGCUCAACUUCGGGACUGCCUUGGAUACUGCGUCACUUGAGGAUAGGAGAGGCAAGGGGAAUUCCACGUGUAGCGGUGAAAUGCGUAGAGAUGUGGAGGAACACCUGUGGCGAAGGCGCCUUGCUGGCCUAUUUCUGACGCUGAGGCGCGAAAGCGUGGGGAGCAAACAGGAUUAGAUACCCUGGUAGUCCACGCUGUAAACGAUGAGUGCUAGGUGUAGGUGGGCUCAUACCCAUCUGUGCCGAAGCUAACGCAUUAAGCACUCCGCCUGGGGA